rnacentral:lncRNA from 1 species
AGAAACAUUCAGAAGUAGGGCCACCAACAUGGUUGGAUUUGGGGCUCAAAUGUUAUUUGGACUCAGUUUCUCUUCAUCUAUCCAGCCCUUCCUGUCCCUGUUUUGAUUUUAUUCUGAGGCCCAAUAAUAUGACCUCAGAAGCAGCAGGAUUUUCCACUGAGGUGGCAGUGUGGCUGAAUCAUCUUCUUAUAUGUUCCAGGAUUGCAUGCCAGUGGGAAAGGAGUCUCUUUGACGACAUUCCCCUGAAAUCCACUGCCUCUUGCUACGUUUCACUGAGAUUACCAUCUGGGAACCAAUCACCUAGGUUUGGAGCUGAUACUGUCUACGGAGAGGAGACUUCAUUUGUAAUCAUAUACAAGCUGUAAAGGACGUUGGUUCUUCAGAAGUGGUUUGAAUGAGGAAAUUCUUUUCAACUCUCUAAAAUUCUGGUGAGAAAAAUCUUCCAACCAAGGGAAUUGCCCUUCUAUAAAAAAGGCAGUUUUGAGAAGAAUGUGCUAAUUUGGCAAAUGAGUAAGGUGGUUUGUGUCCAGUCUAAACCUACAGCUUCUCCAAUAUCCCUGGGGACUCCUGGGAGGCAGAAUAGCUUGAGGGCUUGAUUAUUACCCAAAGUUCAAAGCAGGGGGAGGAAAACACAAGAAAGGGGAGGAUUAGGAUGCUGGGUGGCUCAGUGGUUAAGCAUCUGCCUUUGGCUCAGGUCAUGAUCCCAGGGUCCCAGGAUUGAGUCCCACAUCAGGUUCCCCACAGGGAGCCUGCUUCUCCCUCUGCCUAUGUAUCUGCUUCUCCCUGUGUGUCUCUCAUGAAUAAAAAAAUAAAUAAAAUCUUAGAGGUGGGGGGA